rnacentral:tRNA from 1 species
GGCCGAGUGGCGGAAUUGGCAGACGCACAGGACUUAAAAUCCUGUGGGCCGGAAGGCCCGUGCGGGUUCGAUCCCCGCCUCGGCUA